rnacentral:lncRNA from 1 species
GCUGUUUAGUCUUGGGAGGAUCAGAUUAGGGUAAAGUCAAAGUGGAUCGAAAACUGAAAAUAUAGAGAUGCCGUGUAUUCUUCUAUGAGUAUAAUUAUGAUUGCUGAGGCUCCUAAUUAGAAGAUAGGAUGGUCACUUUUUAACUCAGGCUCAACUUUUCUUGACCAAUUCCCCGGACAGCUAAAGAAGAGGUUUAUUUACUCUCAAGAGCCAGGAAGUCCAGGCAAAACCAGCAGAAUAAAACGGAUUUCAUGACAGAGCAUUAUGGCAGCAAGUGAGAGACAAUAACAACAUUUAAAAAGAAAAGACACAAGAGCUUAUCCAUGGCAAGAUGGUAC